rnacentral:rRNA from 1 species
UACAGAGGUCUCAAGCGUUGUUCGGAUUCACUGGGUUUAAAGGGUGCGUAGGUGGGCAGGUAAGUCAGUGGUGAAAUCUCCGGGCUCAACCCGGAAACUGCCAUUGAUACUAUCAGUCUUGAAUAUCGUGGAGGUAAGCGGAAUAUGUCAUGUAGCGGUGAAAUGCUUAGAUAUGACAUAGAACACCAAUUGCGAAGGCAGCUUACUACCCGAAUAUUGACACUGAGGCACGAAAGCGUGGGGAUCAAACAGG